UCAGAGAAAAAAUUACUUUUAUCUUUAAUUCCCAAAACUAAUAUUUUAUCUUAAACUAUUCUCUG
rnacentral:tRNA from 1 species